rnacentral:rRNA from 1 species
GAUGAACGCUAGCUACAGGCUUAACACAUGCAAGUCGCAGGGUAACAUGAGGAAAGCUUGCUUUCCUUGAUGCCGACUGGCGCACGGGUGAGUAACGCGUAUCCAACCUUCCCAUAACUACGGGAUAACCCGUUGAAAGACGGCCUAAUACCGUAUGAUAUCGUUUGCUGACAUCAAAUAACGAUUAAAGGUUUAGCGGUUAUGGAUGGGGAUGCGUCUGAUUAGCUUGUUGGCGGGGUAACGGCCCACCAAGGCGACGAUCAGUAGGGGUUCUGAGAGGAAGGUCCCCCACAUUGGAACUGAGACACGGUCCAAACUCCUACGGGAGGCAGCAGUGAGGAAUAUUGGUCAAUGGGCGAGAGCCUGAACCAGCCAAGUAGCGUGCAGGACGACGGCCCUAUGGGUUGUAAACUGCUUUUAUGUGGGGAUAAAGUGCGUGACGUGUCAUGCAUUGCAGGUACCACAUGAAUAAGGACCGGCUAAUUCCGUG